UCCUACGGGGGGCAGCAGUAGGGAGUUUUCGUCAAUGGGCGCAAGCCUGAACGAGCAAUGCCGCGUGAACGAGGAAGGUCUUCGGAUCGUAAUGUUCUGUUGAAGGGGAAAAAGAGCGGAGAGAGGAAAUGGUCUCCGAUUGAUAUUACCCUUCGAGGAAGUCACGGCUAACUACGUGCCAGCAGCCGCGGUAAUACGUAGGUGGCGAGCGUUAUCCGGAAUGAUUGGGCGUAAAGGGUGCGUAGGCGGCCUGCUAAGUCUGGAGUGAAAGGUACCGGCUCAACCGGUACAGGCUCUGGAAACUG
rnacentral:rRNA from 1 species